GGAAGACAUCCGGCUGGAUGAGGAAACCGUCUUGAAAACGGCUGGCGCCUGGCGCUUCGGGGUUCGAGUCCCUGGUCUUCCGC
rnacentral:tRNA from 1 species